rnacentral:rRNA from 1 species
CCUACGGGAGGCUGCAGUGGGGGAUAUUGGUCAAUGGGGGAAACCCUGAACCAGCAACGCCGCGUGAGGGAAGACGGCCUUCGGGUUGUAAACCUAAGUGAUCAGGGAUGAAACAAAUGACAGUACCUGAAAAGCAAGCUCCGGCUAACUACGUGCCAGCAGCCGCGGUAAUACGUAGGGAGCAAGCGUUGUCCGGAUUUAUUGGGUUUAAAGGGAGCGUAGGCCGGUCUUUAAGCGUGCCGUGAAAUUUUGUGGCUCAACCAUGAGAGUGCGGCGCGAACUGGAGACCUUGAGUGCGCGGAAGGCAGGCGGAAUUCGUGGUGUAGCGGUGAAAUGCUUAGAUAUCACGAAGAACCCCGAUUGCGAAGGCAGCCUGCCGCAGCGUUACUGACGCUGAAGCUCGAAAGCGCGGGUAUCGAACAGGAUUAGAUACCCCAGUAGUC